GCGUUUAAUACCUUAGCAGGGUGGGAGGAGUAGAAUAUGGAUAUGAUGACUGAUGCACCAAUAUCACGUGUGACCCCUCGUCUGAGGAGUUAUUGCUGGAUAUUGCAUUGAUGUGAUCAUAUUAAUCAUAAACCUAGGACCCCUCUUCCUUUAUUUGCUUUCAUCUCUUCUUGUAAAACUAUUUUAAUAUUUUUCCUAAAAUUCUGCCCUUUCUACUUACCUUCAUAAGAUUUCAACUUAUUGCAAUGUUAUAUGCAAAUCCUUAUUUGAGCCUUAAUUGCUUAUGUGUUUACUUAAAGUCACAAUUAUAACAUGGCCGGGAACCAUACUUGUGGAUCCUGAGGGCUGCCUACCACCUUCUACUCGGGAUAAUUUCUAGCCCUUACCCUAAUCUCUGGUUUCUUCCACUCAAACCCUUCUUAAAGUAUCCUAAUGCAUUAUAAUCAUUAGGUGGCGACUCUCAAAUUCCAAACCCCAAUUCUCGAAAGGGAAUCGAGUUUUCCGCCCAAAUGUCGUAAACCUAAUUUUGCCAUAGAAAAAGGUGGGUCGACAGGUUGCACGCCAUAACUAUAGUAUUAUUAUAUUAUUUUAGAUAUUGUACUUUUCUUUGAUAUUUAUUUGGUUUAUGCUAAGUGGAAUUGUUUCCCGAAGCAUGUACCCCCUCUCUUUUAAUUUCUUAUUACUUGUUUACUUUUCCCAUAUAUAUUAUAUAACUGCACAGGUUUAUCUGGAGUCUGCUCCUAGCCUCGUCACUACCUCACCGAGGUUAGGCUAGACAAUUACUAGCACAUGGGGUCAGUUGUGUUGAUGCUAUAUUCUGCACUUAUGUAUAGAUACCCGCGCAUCAUACAGUGCGCAGCAGUAGUCUGGAGCCAUCCUUCAGUCCAACAAUACAUUGAGGUAGCCUUCUAGACGCUCGUAGGCCUGUUGUCUCCUCUAUAUUACUUUACAUUCUGUUAUCUCAUGUAUCCGAGACAAACAACUUUACUUCUUUUUCAAGCUAAUAUAUGUAGUAUUCGUAGUAGUCCAUGGAUGUUGUGAUGCCAGGUUCUAGGUAGAGACAUGUACUGGCUUCUAGACAUUUUGGCUUCUUAUCUAUUCCUGAUUUCUGCUAAAUUUAGUUUUUCGCUGUCAUUUAGUUACUUAUUCAUUAUUAAUUUAAUUACUCAAACAUGUAUAAAAGAAAAAGGGUUAAUGAUUUUAAUGAUUUAUGGCUUGAUUAGCUUCCAUGGGUAGGCACUAUCACGACUCCCGAGAGUAAAAAUUUCGGAUCGUGACAUUCAGCUGGUUUUUAGCUGUUUUGGUUUUGUUAAUGGCAUAAGGUUAUACAGUUAAUCUUGUACUUUUGUGUUUAUUUCAGAUGAGUUAGUUUUGUUAAUUGUAAAAUAUACAAUGUAAAAAAAAAAAAGGCGAACUGUUUAUUCCUGUAGGUGAUUUUGCUUUCUAAGACUUUCUACAUUUGUUUUUCUUAUUUUAUGACUAGCGGGGAUGGUUGGUUUGGUUUUAAAAUGGUUCAGAUUGAAAUCGAAACACUUAGUUCCAUAAUAGUGGCCUAAGGUACAAAAGUUUGACUUGAGCCAACACUUUGAGUAAACGACAUCGAAAUCGGUAUUUAAUGGUUAUGAUAGUUUUGCAUAAUGAUUUUGUACUAGAGUGUAUGUUCGAAUCAAGUUAUAGAUUGAUGGGGGAUAGCUUAGUGGUUAAUUAUACAAUAUUUGAGCUAAAUUAUAUUAUUUUAUAUGUAGGAUUAUUGGAAUACAAAUACAAGUGAUGAUUACACGGAAAAAAAAGAAGAUGAAAUACAAGAAAAGAGCAGAAAGGACCAAAGCCUGGCGCCAGACCAGGCGUCGCCAGCUAUGAGGCGCGCUUCAGCACGCAAUACGCCUCGCCUUGUGAGGUCUAGGAAUGAUAUAAGCCUCUAUUCGCAAGGUCAGGCGCCCGGUGGCCAAUUGUUCGCAAAUUAAAAAUACUCCUCCCCGAAUUUGGACUCAAGGAUCUCCAUACUAACAUAUAAAU
rnacentral:lncRNA from 1 species